rnacentral:rRNA from 2 species
ACUCUGGUAUUGAUUGGUGCUUGCAUCAUGAUUUACAUUUGAGUGAGUGGCGAACUGGUGAGUAACACGUGGGAAACCUGCCCAGAAGCGGGGGAUAACACCUGGAAACAGAUGCUAAUACCGCAUAACAACUUGGACCGCAUGGUCCGAGUUUGAAAGAUGGCUUCGGCUAUCACUUUUGGAUGGUCCCGCGGCGUAUUAGCUAGAUGGUGGGGUAACGGCUCACCAUGGCAAUGAUACGUAGCCGACCUGAGAGGGUAAUCGGCCACAUUGGGACUGAGACACGGCCCAAACUCCUACGGGAGGCAGCAGUAGGGAAUCUUCCACAAUGGACGAAAGUCUGAUGGAGCAACGCCGCGUGAGUGAAGAAGGGUUUCGGCUCGUAAAACUCUGUUGUUAAAGAAGAACAUAUCUGAGAGUAACUGUUCAGGUAUUGACGGUAUUUAACCAGAAAGCCACGGCUAACUACGUGCCAGCAGCCGCGGUAAUACGUAGGUGGCAAGCGUUGUCCGGAUUUAUUGGGCGUAAAGCGAGCGCAGGCGGUUUUUUAAGUCUGAUGUGAAAGCCUUCGGCUCAACCGAAGAAGUGCAUCGGAAACUGGGAAACUUGAGUGCAGAAGAGGACAGUGGAACUCCAUGUGUAGCGGUGAAAUGCGUAGAUAUAUGGAAGAACACCAGUGGCGAAAGGCGGCUGUCUGGUCUGUAACUGACGCUGAGGCUCGAAAGUAUGGGUAGCAAACAGGAUUAGAUACCCUGGUAGUCCAUACCGUAACGAUGAUGCUAAGUGUUGGAGGGUUUCCGCCCUUCAGUGCUGCAGCUAAC